rnacentral:rRNA from 1 species
AUUUAUGGAGAGUUUGAUCCUGGCUCAGGAUGAACGCUGGCGGCGUGCCUAAUACAUGCAAGUCGAGCGAACGGAUAAGGAGCUUGCUCCUUUGAAG